rnacentral:tRNA from 1 species
UAGCUCAGUUGGUUGAGCAUGGAGCUAACAACGCUAAGGUCGCGGGUUCGAUUCCCGU